UUUCCGUAGGUGAACCUGCGGAAGGAUCAUUACUGAGUGAGGGCCCCUCGGGGUCCAACCUCCCACCCGUGUUUAACGAACCUUGUUGCUUCGGUGGGCCCGCCUCACGGCCGCCGGGGGGCAUUUGCCCCCGGGCCCGCGCCCGCCGAAGCCACCUGUGAACGCUGUCUGAAGUAUGCAGUCUGAGACAAUUAUUAAAUUAAUUAAAACUUUCAACAACGGAUCUCUUGGUUCCG
rnacentral:misc_RNA from 1 species